CAAAUAAACAAAAACAAAAAAAAAAAGAAGAACUGUGCAUAUACAGAAAGAAGACAAUUAUUUGGUUAGCAGUACGUUUGUUCUUCGAGAAGCCUGUUUUUUCUCUUUCUUUGUUUCUUUCAGUUGUUGGUUUUUCAGCUGGUGUUUUGAUCUGUCAGUGUUUUUUUUUUGUUAAUUGGUUGUAUCUCUUGUAUCAGAUUGUUUCUAUGGUCGUGGGGUUCAAGUUCAGGAGAUACCGUUUUGGGUGUGUUCCUGAAAUGGUAGGGGGGGGGAUUGUGGGACUCGUGCGUCCGUUUCGUAGGGCUUUAUGUCAUUGUCUGGUUUGUGUGCGUUUUAUGGGGAGUCAUCUCGUUCCCUAUGUGUUCAUUCAGCGUCUGUUAGACUAUGGUGGGUGAUACCGUACAGUUGUGAUGGACAGGGUGUUGGGGGCUUUUUAUCUGCUUGCCUGUGCGCUGGCUGCUGGCCUUUCCCUGAAGUAGUUUGGGUAUACUGCAUCUUUACGAUGGUACCCUUAUGUUGUGGUAGUAUCUUGGCUUUAUGUUGCCGAUUUUGCCUUAGUUUCCCUGGGGUAGGGUUUCAGUCGGGAAGAGAGGAGGUUUGGUUUCAUGAUCAUCUGUUUCGUUUCUGUAUCAUAUCUUCCGGUGGUCUGUGGGGUUUGUUUGUUUCUUUGUGUGAUUACUUUGGGGGGAUGCUAGGCAUGUGGUGGCAGUGAUUUGGUGUGGUUGUUAUCUGCCUUGUCGGGGGUCCGCUGAUGGGCACUGAGUUAGGGAUAAGGGGGAGGGUGUGUUGCUAGAUUAUGGGGAGAGGGGGGGUGGAAUGGGAUGGCGCACCGCGUUGUGUAUUAGGUGUGGGUUGAGGGCUCCGCGAGCCAUGGGUCCCAGAUUUUGUCGCAAUGUAUUGUGGUUUCGUGUAUGAGAGCUGACAUUCCGUCCAUGAGCCUCGCCUCAUUCAUUUUGCGUUUGACGUCUGUUAUUGUUGGGAUCGUAGCCGCCCAGUGGGUAGCUAUGGCUCUCCUUGUUGCUAGGGCUAGUUUGGCCAAAAGUUUGUUGUGUGCGCGGGGUGUGUCUGGUAGAGGUUUGGAUAGGAGCCAUAGCCAGGGGUCUGUAGGGAUGGUAUCAUGUAGGACCCGUGAUGCAAGUGUCGCUAUGUCUCUCCAAAUUGGUGUAAUAAGAGGGCAUUCCCACCAAAGGUGAUAGUAUGUCCCCUGUUGGCCGCAGCCUUUCCAGCAUCUGUCUGAGGUGGAUAGUCCCAUCUGUUUGAGUUUUAGUGGCGUAAUGUACCAUCGCAUGAGGGUCUU